rnacentral:rRNA from 1 species
UACGGGAGGCAGCAGUGGGGAAUUUUGGACAAUGGGCGAAAGCCUGAUCCAGCAAUGCCGCGUGAGUGAAGAAGGCCUUCGGGUUGUAAAGCUCUUUUGUCAGGGAAGAAACGGUGAAGGCUAAUAUCCUUUGCUAAUGACGGUACCUGAAGAAUAAGCACCGGCUAACUAC